rnacentral:rRNA from 1 species
CCUACGGGAGGCAGCAGUAGGGAAUCUUCCACAAUGGACGCAAGUCUGAUGGAGCAACGCCGCGUGAGUGAAGAAGGUUUUCGGAUCGUAAAACUCUGUUGUUGGAGAAG